AGUAGAUAGCUUAACCGUCGGGAGGGCGUUUACCACGUUACCACGGUGUGGUUCAUGACUGGGGUGAAGUCGUAACAAGGUAGCCCUAGGGGAACCUGGGGCUGGAUCACCUCCUUACUGA
rnacentral:rRNA from 1 species